rfam:Methanocaldococcus vulcanius M7, complete genome.
UCUGCCGGGCUAUCACCCCGUCUGGUGGAUGGCUCGGCUCGGGGCGCCGAGGAAGGGCGUGGCAAGCUGCGAUAAGCCCGGGGGAGGCGCAGGCAGCCGUAGAACCCGGGAUCCCCGAAUGGGACUUCCUGCCCCAUUUGGGGCGCUCCCGUUAGGGAGCGGGAACGCGGGGAAAAGAAGCAUCCGAGUACCCGCAGGAAAAGAAACCAACAGGGAUGCCGGGAGUAGGGGCGACCGAAACCGGCACAGGGCAAACCGAACCCUUAUCCGUAAGGGUAAGGGGAUGUGGUGUUGCAGGGCCCUCAUAUAAACCCCCACCGGGAAGCCGAAGUCCCCUGGAACGGGGCGCCAUAGAGGGUGAAAGCCCCGUAGGCGUAACCGGUUGGGGGUUUUGAGGUGUCCCUGAGUACCGCGCGUUGGAUAUCGCGCGGGAAGCUGGGAGACAUUAGGCUUCCAACCCUAAAUACGUCCCGAGACCGAUAGCGAACUAGUACCGUGAGGGAAAGCUGAAAAGCACCCCUUGCGGGGGGUGAAAAGAGCCUGAAACCAGACGGGUGCGGUAUGGCACGGCUCGAAAGGUAACCACCCCGAAGGAAACUCCCGCGAGGGAGGAGUACGAGGGGUGGCAUGCCGGAGUCGUGUCGUCCGUUUCGAAAAACGGGCCGGGGAGUGUACGGGUGUGGCGAGCCUAAGACCUUCAAGGUCGAAGGCGUAGGGAAACCGACGUGCCCGCAGCCCUUUUUGGGUGAGGGGCGAGGUCUUUGUGGGCCUGGAGUCACACUCGUACGACCCGAAACCGGGCGAUCUAGGCCGGGGUAGGGUGAAGCCCCUCGCCAGAGGGGUGGAGGCCCGCAGGGGUGUUACCGCGCAAAGUGCUCCUCUGACCUCGGUCUAGGGGUGAAAUGCCAAUCGAGCCCGGAGAUAGCUGGUUCCCUCCGAAAUAACUCGCAGGUUAGCCGGGAGUUAGGUAGAUGGCGGGGUAGAGCCACUGAUAGGGUGUUUAGGGGGCGAGAGCCCUCGGCACCCUGUCAAACUCCGAACCCGUCAUCGCCGUAGCUCCCGAGUGAGGGCAUACGGGUAAGCCGUAUGUCCGAGAGGGGAACAACCCGGACCCGGGUUAAGGCCCCUAAGUGCCGGCUAAGUGUAAAUGGAAGGGAGUCCCUGGCCUAAGACAGCGGGGAGGUUGGCUUAGAAGCAGCCAUCCUUUAAAGAGUGCGUAACAGCUCACCCGUCGAGGUCAGGGGCCCCGAAGAUAAUGGGGGCUAAGCCGGCCGCCGAGACCCGGGGGCACCGUUAUGGUGAUCCGGUAGGAGGGCGUCCCGCGAGGGUAGAAGCUCGGCUGUGAAGUCGAGUGGACCUCGUGGGAACGAGGAUCCCGGCAGUAGUAACAGCAAAGUGGGGUGAGAAUCCCCACCGCCGAAGGGGCAAGGUUUCCACAGCAACGGUCGUCAGCUGUGGGUUAGCCGGUCCUAACCCUCGGGGUAAUUCCCUAUGAGGGGAAAGGGAAGCGGGUUAAUAUUCCCGCGCCAUCGGGGUACGUGCGGCAACGCAGGGCCAACUCCUGACGCUUCGGGGUAGGCCGACCACCCCCGUCGGGGUGGCCAAGCGUAUAAGCCCGGGGAGUGCCGUAAUGGCGAGAACCGGGCAAAAGCGUGAUGGGCCCUCCGUUAGGAGGGUUCGGCUGAGCCCUGGAGCCCGUGAAAAGGGAGUUGGUAAGGAUCCCCGAUGACCGUACCCAGAACCGACACUGGUGCCCCUAGGCGAGUAUCCUAAGGCGUGUCGGGUGAAUCCGGCCCAGGGAAGUCGGCAAAUUGGCCCCGUAACUUCGGGAGAAGGGGUGCCUGCGGUCUUCUCUAUAUGGGGGGGACCGCAGGUCGCAGUGGCCAGGGGGGUCCGACUGUUUAAUAAAAACACAGGUCUUGGCUAGCCCGUAAGGGUGUGUACCAAGGCCGACGCCUGCCCAGUGCCGGUACGUGAAACCCGGGUACAACCGGGCGAAGCGCCGGUAAACGGCGGGGGUAACUAUAACCCUCUUAAGGUAGCGAAAUUCCUUGUCGGGUAAGUUCCGACCUGCAUGAAUGGCGUAACGAGACCCCCACUGUCCCGGGCCGGAGCCCGGUGAACCUACCUUUCCGGUGCAAAGGCCGGAGACCCCCAGUGGGAAGCGAAGACCCCGUGGAGCUUUACUGCAGCCUGUCGUUGGGGCAUGGCCGUGGGUGCACAGUGUAGGUGGGAGCCGUCGAAGCCACCCCUCCGGGGGUGGUGGAGGCGUCCAUGGGACACCACCCACCCAUGGCCAUGUCCCUAACCCCGUGUGGGGGACACCGGCAGGUGGGCAGUUUGGCUGGGGCGGCACCCCCCUGAAAAUGCAUCAGGGGGGCCCAAAGGUCGGCUCAGGCGGGUCAGAACUCCGCCGUGGAGUGCAAGGGCAAAAGCCGGCCUGACUUGGUCGGUAAAAGAGGCCGACCAAGAGGCGAAAGCCGGGCCUAGCGAACCCCUGUGCCUCACCAAUGGGGGCCAGGGAUAACAGAAAAGCUACCCCGGGGAUAACAGAGUUGUCGCGGGCAAGAGCCCAUAUCGACCCCGCGGCUUGCUACAUCGAUGUCGGUUCUUCCCAUCCUGGGCCUGCAGCAGGGCCCAAGGGUGGGGCUGUUCGCCCAUUAAAGGGGAUCGUGAGCUGGGUUUAAACCGUCGUGAGACAGGUUGGUUGCUAUCUGCUGGGGGUGUUGGUCGCCUGAGGGGAAGGUGGCUCUAGUACGAGAGGAACGAGCCGCCGGUGCCUCUGGUUUACCGGUUGUCCGACAGGGCAUUGCCGGGCAGCUACGCACUAAGGGAUAAGGGCUGAAGGCAUCUAAGCCCGAAACCCUCCCCGAAAAUAGGCGGCCAGUCCCUUUGGGGACGAGGGCUCUCCUAGAAGAGGAGGUUGAUAGGUCGGGGGUGUAAGCGCCGAGGGUUCUGCCCGAGGCGUUCAGCCCGCCGACACUAACCGCCCGAGAGCCCGGCAGG